rnacentral:tRNA from 1 species
GAGGGUACAGCUCAGUGGUAGAGUGCAUGCUUAGCAUGCAUGAGGUCCUGGGUUCAAUUCCCAGUACCCCCA